rnacentral:rRNA from 1 species
UACGAAGGGGGCUAGAGUUGUUCGGAAUUACUGGGCGUAAAGCGCACGUAGGCGGACUGACAAGUCAGGGGUGAAAUCCCGGGGCUCAACCUCGGAACUGCCUUUGAUACUGCCAGUCUCGAGUCCGGAAGAGGUGGGUGGAAUUCCUAGUGUAGAGGUGAAAUUCGCAGAUAUUAGGAAGAACACCGGUGGCGAAGGCGGCCCACUGGUCCGGUACUGACGCUGAGGUGCGAAAGCGUGGGGAGCAAACAGG